GGGAAUCUUGGACAAUGGGGGCAACCCUGAUCCAGCGACGCCGCGUGGGUGAUGAAGGCCUUCGGGUUGUAAAGCCCUUUCGACGGGGACGAUGAUGACGGUACCCGGCGAAGAAGCACCGGCUAACCCCGUGCCAGCAGCCGCGGUAAGACGGAGGGUGCUAGCGUUGUUCGGAAUUACUGGGCGUAAAGGGCGCGUAGGCGGGCGGGCAAGGCGCUCGUGAAAGCCCACGGCGCAACCGUGGAAUGGCGGGAGAAACUGCUCGUCUUGAGUCCGGGAGAGGAGAGUGGAAUUCCCAGUGUAGCGGUGAAAUGCGUAGAUAUUGGGAGGAACACCGGUGGCGAAGGCGGCUCUCUGGACCGGUACUGACGCUGAGGCGCGAAAGCUAGGGGAGCAAAC
rnacentral:rRNA from 1 species